rnacentral:rRNA from 1 species
AGUGAACGCUGGCGGUAGGCCUAACACAUGCAAGUCGAACGGCAGCACAGUAAGAGCUUGCUCUUACGGGUGGCGAGUGGCGGACGGGUGAGGAAUACAUCGGAAUCUACUUUUUCGUGGGGGAUAACGUAGGGAAACUUACGCUAAUACCGCAUACGACCUACGGGUGAAAGCAGGGGAUCUUCGGACCUUGCGCGAUUGAAUGAGCCGAUGUCGGAUUAGCUAUUUGGCGGGGUAAAGGCCCACCAAGGCGACGAUCCGUAGCUGGUCUGAGAGGAUGAUCAGCAACACUGGAACUGAGACACGGUCCAGACUCCUACGGGAGGCAGCAGUGGGGAAUAUUGGACAAUGGGCGCAAGCCUGAUCCAGCCAUGCCGAGUGGGUGAAGAAGGCCUUCGGGUUGUAAAGACCUUUUGUUGGGAAAGAAAAGCAGCAGGUUAAUACCCCGCUGUUCUGACGGUACCCAAAGAAUAAGCACCGGCUAACUUCGUG